UUUUUAUGUUUAUGUGGUUGGUGACGAUUUAGAUUAUGAAUUAAAGAUGUUGAAUUUACUUUAAAACAUGCACAAAUUUGAAAUCAGAAAAUAUUUUUAAAUUUUUUGGUUAAUGUUUUUGAUGAUCAUAUGUUUUAUUUAAAUGUGUGUUUGAUUACAAUUACAAUAAAAAAACAAAACGGCAAUGAAAACUUCCAGUUUAUGCUAGGGUUAAUUGCUAUAAUGGUUUCCUGAAAAUGGGUUUAUGGUUUAUAAUUUUGUUGUGAUCAUUUUAGAAUCAAGUCAUGGAUAAGAGUGGAAUAUGAAAGGAUUGGCAGAUCAUUGAUUUUAGAUUAUAUACAGCCUUAGUGGAGGAGGAUUUUAUGUUUGUAAUUUGAUGUCUGAUUUGUAUAUUAUAGUUUUGUUGUCUUGUAUUAACUAGUUCAUUUAUCUUUAAGUACCUUUGGCUGAGUUUUGAGAAAUGCACAUAAAAGGAAACUGAAUCGAUUUAUUUAUGCCCAUUUUUUCUGUUGUUUUAUAAUUUUGUUGUUACAUUCAGUGUAUACUGGUCAGUUCUUUUGUAGGUGUCUAUUAUAUUCUUUUGAUGACUACAAAUUUGAAAAUGAAAUGUUUUCUUUGUAACGAUUGCUUCUGCUUUCUGGUUUAACUGUAGGUUUUUGGACUCAUUCACGAUCUUGUGGCUGAGGACGUAAUUAUAAUUUAUUCAAGUCUUUAAUCCUUCAGCUUUCGUAGAACUAUUUAUUUCUGAAUUGUUUGUCACAUACUUUGGAGCACUGCAUGAGUGUUUGCAUUGUGAUCACAAAGUAUAAAGAUUUCAUAGUUUCAAUUGUAGCGCAUAGAGAUUCAGAAGGUUGCGGUAGGAAAUCUAUAUAGGGUGCUUGUGGUAGGUGUACAUGCAAUUAUUGGUAACACAUUAUUAGCUGCAUUUCAAAUCACAUUAUUGUACGAUGGAUACCUUUGCUGACUUCAUUUUGUUUAAUUCAUGUUUAACCAUGUUUCAUAUCUCACAUUAGUGUUGUUUAUUAGUUAGAGAUUGUUAAUGGUUGCAAUACAUAUAUGUAUAGUUGUCCUAUUCAAUGGAAUCAUUUCACUUUGACCUUGUAUACUGAAGUUUCAUUGGAAGGUUAUGCCCGAAAGUUAAGAAAGCUAAUAUUUGAAUUGAUGGAUUUAUUGCGAUUGCUUGAUGGACUAUGAGUCUGUUAGGGAUUGGCUUGAGCAAGAAGGAAGGACUAGGUAGCAUUAAAAUUCAAUGUGGGUUAUGGGGUUUCUUUCUCAUUCCACUGAUUGCUUACAUACGCAAUUCUACAAUGAUCCAAUCAUGGUAAAAUAUUUCUUAUGCAUCUCAAAUUAUGGAAAAGAGUUGUUGUUGUUCACUUUCUUUUUUUUUCUCUUCUCUUGCAGGCUUACAUGUUUAAGUGUGAUUACAUUCAUGGAGUUUUUAAUUGAACCCUCAAGGUUGUGGAUGAAUCCACUUUGGAAAUAAAUGAGAAGCAGAUUAAAAUUUUUAGCAAAAGGGACCCGGUUGAGAUCCCUUGGGGUGAUUAUGGGGCUAAGUAUAUUGUUGAAUCUUUUGGGGUCUUCACAACAACUGACAAGGCUUCAGCUCACAUAAAGGAAAAAAUGAUACAUUCAUGCAACAAUGCUUGAAGAAGCAGCUCAUCUUACUUGAAGGAGCAGAAGCAGAGUUAAGGCAUAUAGUGCAACAAAAAAAAAAAAA